rnacentral:ribozyme from 13 species
CACUUUUGUUUCUUUAUUUUUAUUUGUGUUGUUUUAUUUCGUUUUUUCGAGUUUAUUUUCGAUCUCCCCAAUUCGCGAUAAAAUCUUGUAAAAACGAACAAGAAUCAGAGAAGAAAACAAGCUAAAUCCUGUUAUGUAAACAUUUCUUUGGGUCCUGAAUUUUUUGAGAUUCAAUGACAAACGAGUUUCCAUGUCAGUGACAGCAUUAACAGCUGCAUUUUGUUUCAUUAGAUCCAAUUCAUUUUGGACAGAUGUCAUGGCCCAAAAGGACCAAACAAACAU